rnacentral:rRNA from 1 species
GAUGAACGCUGGCGGCGUGCCUAAUACAUGCAAGUCGAGCGAGCAGACGAUGAGCUUGCUCCUCUGACGUUAGCGGCGGACGGGUGAGUAACACGUGGAUAACCUACCUAUAAGACUGGGAUAACUUCGGGAAACCGGUUCUAAUACCGGAUAAUAUAUUGAACCGCAUGGUUCAAUAGUGAAAGACGGUUUUGCUGUCACUUAUAGAUGGAUCCGCGCCGCAUUAGCUAGUUGGUAAGGUAACGGCUUACCAAGGCAACGAUGCGUAGCCGACCUGAGAGGGUGAUCGGCCACACUGGAACUGAGACACGGUCCAGACUCCUACGGGAGGCAGCAGUAGGGAAUAUUCGGCAAUGGGCGAAAGCCUGACGGAGCAACGCCGCGUGAGUGAUGAAGGUCUUCGGAUCGUAAAACUCUGUUAUUAGGGAAGAAAAAAUGUGUAAGUAACUAUGCACGUCUUGACGGUACCUAAUCAGAAAGCAACGGCUAACUACGUG